GCCCAAACAAGAAAAUUACACUUCAUAAAUACUCACAUUUUGUGUUGUUUUUCUUCACAAAAUAGCAAUGGCUCUUUCAACUAAUACCACUACCAACUCUCUUCUUUCCAACAAAUCUUUGCUUCAAAAUCAACCCCUUUUGUCUUCUCCUUCAAAGAAUGCAUUUUUCUCCAACAAAUCAACCAAAACGGUUAGAUUUGUUCAACCUAUCGCAGCGGUUCAUUCGUCUGAUUCAAACAAAAACCCCAUUGUUUCCGAUAAGCCCUCCAAGUCUUCUCCACCGGCGGCCACUGCAACCACGGCUCCGGCUCCGGCUGUGACCAAAACUGAAUGGGCGGUGGAUAGCUGGAAGUCUAAGAAGGCGCUUCAGCUACCGGAAUACCCAGAUCAAGAGGAGCUUAGAUCUGUUCUUAAGACGAUCGAUGAGUUCCCUCCUAUCGUCUUUGCUGGUGAGGCUAGAAGCCUUGAAGAACGACUUGGUGAGGCUGCUAUGGGAAGGGCGUUUUUGUUACAAGGAGGAGAUUGUGCCGAGAGUUUCAAGGAAUUCAAUGCUAAUAAUAUUAGGGAUACUUUCAGAAUCCUUCUUCAAAUGGGUGCUGUUCUUAUGUUUGGUGGUCAGAUGCCUGUGAUCAAGGUUGGAAGAAUGGCUGGGCAAUUUGCAAAGCCGAGAUCAGAUUCAUUUGAGGAGAAGGAUGGUGUAAAGCUGCCGAGUUACAGGGGAGACAAUGUGAAUGGAGAUGCAUUUGAUGUCAAGUCCAGGACUCCUGACCCUCAGAGGCUGAUCAGGGCCUAUUGCCAAUCUGCAGCUACUUUGAAUCUGUUGAGGGCUUUUGCUACUGGAGGAUAUGCUGCCAUGCAGAGGAUCAAUCAGUGGAACUUGGAUUUCACAGAGCAUAGUGAG
rnacentral:misc_RNA from 1 species